rnacentral:rRNA from 1 species
UACGUAGGUGGCAAGCGUUGUCCGGAUUUAUUGGGUUUAAAGGGUCCGUAGGCGGUUUUGUAAGUCAGUGGUGAAAGCCCAUCGCUCAACGGUGGAACGGCCAUUGAUACUGCAAGACUUGAAUUAUUAGGAAGUAACUAGAAUAUGUAGUGUAGCGGUGAAAUGCUUAGAUAUUACAUGGAAUACCAAUUGCGAAGGCAGGUUACUACUAAUGGAUUGACGCUGAUGGACGAAAGCGUGGGGAGCGAACAGG